GAGAUUUUCUGUUCUGCUCAAUCAAUGUGUGUCAGCAUGGUAGCCAAAGAAAAACUCAACGCACAAAGAAUUAAGGAAGCCAUCUACUCUGAACAUCAAUAACAACUUUCAGCGACCGGCCUGGCUGAGAACCAGUGCACACCCAACCUCUGCAUGCACAGAGCUCUUGGCACACAGAGAGACAGAAGAAAGAUGGGAGAUAACAUAAGGAUCAGGGUCUCUAAACCAAGUGAGGCAUCCAGAUCCGGUGUUGCUCAAACACACACCUCCACCUGGGCUCGAGAAUAAAAAGGUCUGACUGCAUAACUUCAGCUGUCCAGCUACCCAGGACAAAUGUCAAAUGUAAAAUGAGCAAUAAUACUAAACAGCUUGCAAAGAAAAGUUCAGGCUGAUUCUGAAGCAUUAAAAAUGAGCACCCCCAUAAGAUGUUAUGGCCUCAUUUAAGACCAAGUUGGGAUAUUUUACAGCAUCACUAAACAGCUACAUCUCAGCUUGAAGGAGCGAGAGGUACUCUCCCAAGUGGCACAACACUUCAGCUGCCGAGCUGCUCUUCUGCCUUCUUUCAGCUUUCAAUACGAGGUCCAGCAGCCCUACUCACUGUGUCAGGCUUUACAAACAUGUCACAGAAUCAACUUUGAGUGCUGGAGAGGACUUUCAAGGACGACUUCAUAUACAGAUUCCCUUGGGAACACCAGCUCCAAAGUCCCUCUCGCUUGCAUUCCAGCCAGCAGCCAGCACGCUGCCCCACUGGGUCCUGCCCAGGCUGGAGCUGGGCACUCUGCAUGGGAUCAAGGUGCCUCUGUAUAUAUGCCCCAGCCUGAUGAAUGCCACUGCUCCUCAUUUCCAUACGAUCAGUAUCUUGCUCUAUAAACGACUUUUCAACGCAGGAAAAAUAGUUUCUCCCAACAGCGUGCAGCGCUGCAGAUAACCAACAUGAAAAAUGUCAAGCAAUGCAGGCGCUGAAUAACAAAAUAAUCAGUUUUUCCACUCAGAUGCUUUCUAAUAUUGCUAACGCUUCUUUAUUUAUUUAUUUUUUUUAUGUGAGAUGUGGUGUUCACAAUAAAUAAUUUAAAGACUUAAUGUUCACUGGGUCCUUUGUCACUGGCAGCUGCUGAAUUGCCAAAUGAAAAUAUUUGGGGUUUUGGUGCUCUGAAUAAAGACUGUAUAUUUGUCAACAAUUUUAUGGCUCAGAGCGGUGCUCCAUGAAUAUCGUCA